rnacentral:rRNA from 1 species
GAUGAACGCUAGCGGGAGGCCUAACACAUGCAAGCCGAGCGGUAGAGAUUCUUCGGAAUCUUGAGAGCGGCGUACGGGUGCGGAACACGUGUGCAACCUACCUUUAUCUGGAGGAUAGCCUUUCGAAAGGAAGAUUAAUACUCCAUAAUAUAUUGAUUGGCAUCAAUUGAUAUUGAAAGCUCCGGCGGAUAGAGAUGGGCACGCGCAAGAUUAGUUAGUUGGUGAGGUAACGGCUCACCAAGACGAUGAUCUUUAGGGGCCUGAGAGGGUGAUCCCCACACUGGUACUGAGACACGGACCAGACUCCUACGGGAGGCAGCAGUGAGGAAUAUUGGUCAAUGGGUGCAAGCCUGAACCAGCCAUCCCGCGUGAAGGACGACUGCCCUAUGGGUUGUAAACUUCUUUUGUAUAGGGAUAAACCUACCCUCGUGAGGGUAGCUGAAGGUACUAUACGAAUAAGCACCGGCUAACUCCGUAGCCAGCAGCCGCGGUAA